UACGUAGGGUGCGAGCGUUAAUCGGAAUUACUGGGCGUAAAGCGUGCGCAGGCGGCGCGUUAAGACAGGUGUGAAAGCCCCGAGCUUAACUUGGGAAUUGCGCUUGUGACUGGCGAGCUGGAGUGUGGCAGAGGGAGGUGGAAUUCCACGUGUAGCAGUGAAAUGCGUAGAGAUGUGGAGGAACACCAAUGGCGAAGGCAGCCCCCUGGGAUAACACUGACGCUCAGGCACGAAAGCGUGGGGAGCAAACAGG
rnacentral:rRNA from 1 species